rnacentral:rRNA from 1 species
UACGGGGGGGGGCAAGCGUUGUUCGGAAUUACUGGGCGUACAGGGAGCGUAGGCGGUUGGAUAAGCCCUCCGUGAAAUCUCCAGGCUUAACCUGGAAAGUGCAGAGGGGACUGUCAGCUAGAGGAUGGGAGAGGAGCGCGGAAUUCCCGGUCGUAGGCGGUGAAAUGCGUAGAGAUCGGGAGGAAGGCCGGUGGCGAAGGCGGCGCUC